rnacentral:rRNA from 1 species
CGCGUGAGUGAAGAAGGCCUUCGGGUUGUAAAGCUCUUUCGGCCGGGAAGAAAUCGCACAGGCUAAUACCUUGUGUGGAUGACGGUACCGGAAUAAGAAGCACCGGCUAACUACGUGCCAGCAGCCGCGGUAAUACGUAGGGUGCGAGCGUUAAUCGGAAUUACUGGGCGUAAAGCGUGCGCAGGCGGUUUGGUAAGACAGGCGUGAAAUCCCCGGGCUCAACCUGGGAACUGCGCUUGUGACUGCCUCACUAGAGUACGGCAGAGGGGGGUGGAAUUCCACGUGUAGCAGUGAAAUGCGUAGAGAUGUGGAGGAACACCGAUGGCGAAGGCAGCCCCCUGGGCCGAUACUGACGCUCAUGCACGAAAGCGUGGGUAGCAAACAGGAUUAGAUACCCUGGUAGUCCACGCCCUAAACGAUGUCAACUAGUUGUUGGGGGGGUAAAACCCUUUAGUAACGUAGCUAACGCGUGAAGUUGACCGCCUGGGGAGUACGGCCGCAAGGUUAAAACUCAAAGGAAUUGACGGGGACCCGCACAAGCGGUGGAUGAUGUGGAUUAAUUCGAUGCAACGCGAAAAACCUUACCUACCCUUGACAUGUUCAGAAGCUUGAAGAGAUUUGAGUGUGCCCGAAAGGGAACUGAAACACAGGUGCUGCAUGGCUGUCGUCAGCUCGUGUCGUGAGAUGUUGGGUUAAGUCCCGCAACGAGCGCAACCCUUGUCGUUAAUUGCCAUCAUUUAUUUGGGCACUUUANCGAGACUGCCGGUGACAAACCGGAGGAAGGUGGGGAUGACGUCAAG